CCCCGCGUGUUCUCUCUCUCGUCCCCGAGCUCUUGCUCUCUCUCUCUCACCUCUGCAACUCCGGUUGCUUUCUCUUUCCGGCCACCAAAAAGCGUAAAACCGGUGGCUACGGACUCGUCUCGACCUCCUCUUGGUGCCUGCGGUGAUGGCUCAUGGCGGCUUGGCCGGAAAAUGACGCAUCGAGCUGUGGAAGUUUCACUGUAGCAGAAGUGGUCAACGCGAGUUUCUCCCGAUUCCGGCCACCUCCGGCGACUAACCAUAAUCAUUUGGAAGCGCCUUGCGAUGUAGAUGAUGCUCCCCAAAUAUUUUGCAGCGAUUUGAAGCGUGGAGGAAGAAUUGAAGGGCAAUGUUGCGAGCUACGGCUAGAUGAAUGAACUCGUUUGCGUGGUCGCCCAUUAGUACUUUUGCAGGCGCUAUUAGUUGAGGUCGGGCGUACAUGGAUCGAGGCAUAGUUGACGAAUAGCUUCCGCGCUUCUUUGUUUGGCUCUGAUCUAUUGUGGGUUACUAUUUUGGGUAGUCCUCUUUAGGGGUGACUCAACCAGUUCUCGGUAGAGUUAUCUCUAAGGUGGGCCCCGCAGGGCCACCUCGGAUUUCAGGGUGAAAUUCGGGGCGGGUCCUGUCAACUGUACACAUAUGAAAGCUAUUACCAAGCAAUCUUAAAGCUACUACAAAGCAUGAAUGAAAAGCUAUUACCAAAAUCAACUGACACAUAUGUAAAUGCUACUAUAAUACUAUUUAGAACUUUUUUAGACAAAUAUAUAGCAAUAGAAUUGCAUAUUUCAGUGUCAAGGACGCUUACGAAGCCGAAUUAAUAUAAGAGAGGUGUUGAUUCAAAAAUGCUCAACUGAUUCUUCGACUGAUUUCUUUGAUUCUUCAUUCCUGCUUCUUCGCUACUAAGACACGGGCCGACCGUCGACGAGUCUUCGAAAUCAUCGUCGGAGACUCGCCUCUUCUGCGAGGCUCGGUAGCGACUCGAUUGUCGGCAACGCCGAGGUCCUAUCAAAUUUCCAUUCUAGAGAGAGAGAGAGAGAGGCGGUUUCUCAUUCAAAAUGACCUAGAACGUGAAAUUGGGUUUGUUUAAAGACCAGUGGCAUAGUUGUAAUUUCUUUUAUUUUUAAUGUUUAAAAUUUAACCCUAUUCUGUAUCUGGUGGCCUUAUGAAGGAAGAAAAUAUUUGGUGGCCCUUAGGCUAAAAUAACUCCUCAAAAUGCACUUAUAUGUAAUAUUUUUGUUUAUUGGUGUCCUAUAGCCAAAUUUGUAGUAGUGCGUGUAUUAGUUGGCCUUUUUUUUUUUGUGCCUAUAUUGCGUUUUAGGCGGAAUGUUUUUUCAAAAACCAUCUUCAUGUCCGAUCUUCGAGAGAAAAAUCUCUUUAUAGAGACCAUGGUUCGAGCACAAGUAAGCCAUAUGCUUCCGAAUCCCGAUUUGCUCAUUUAAAAAUGUCCUUUUCGUGGUUCAUCCUAAACCAUUUAUAGAGGUAUCCAAUUGGGUUACAAACGAUACAUCCAGCCGGGGCACAGGCCAAGUAGAUCCCCUAAUGAUUCUGGUAGGGCAAGCCCAAGCCGGAGCAACGUCAGAGACGUAGAAAAAAGCAAGAAAGUAGAAAUAGAUCCAUUGAAACUGAUCCUUUGUUUUUUGUUUUCAUCUUAGGGUCUUAAUGCAUCUUUUCUUUUUAAAACCCAAUAAAUUUUAUUGGAGGGCAAUAAAACCGGAUGCACCGAAUAUCGUGAGGCGGAUGAACCAACCCAGUGUUCAACGGGAUUGACCAUGAUGGCAACAAAAUCAGAGACAAGGUCGGCAUCAAGUACGUACAAAUUAUAGGGUAAGAGACCAAUGAAGGAGGAGAUCUGCCAUUGCUUUAUGUUGAAGUUAAUGACCAGGUGGCCUUGUCAGAAAUGGAUUCUGUUUUGAAGCAGACUCUGAACCGGGAAUGAUCAUUCACCCAAACAAAUGGAAUGCACAAUCUCAAAUUAAAAGGUAGGAAUGUCAAUUUUUUGAUAACUAGGUUAUUGCAAGUUACUAUGUUUGUUCAUUGAUAUGUAUUUGAGUAUGAAAUUGUUGAAUUGGCAAGGGACCAACCGAAGCCUAGUGACUAUCUAAUGAAACUGUGAAGAAGUUGAGAAGUUUCACGAAGUAACUGCUGAAGACCUUGACACAAAAAUAUCUUGCAGAUUUUCUUUAUUGAGUUGAUACUAGUGAAAGAAAUGCAGGUAUAGGCUUGUAAGUUGCAAUAGGUUUCUUUAUUAGGUAAUGCAAUAUGUUGUAGAAGUAAUUGUAACAAAUUGUAGAUUUUGAUUGAAUGCGAUGAUGUAUACAUUUGUAGACAGCAUUCAUAUA